UUGUCAUAUUCUCCGAUGCGCUCUUUCGAAGUGAUCAAGGGUGAUGGGAAGAGAAAACCUCUCACAGGGCAAAGCCAAGAACCCACAGAAGAAAGGACUGAGUGUGGAACAGGAGCCCAACCAAGGAAAAUUCUCAACUCCUGGAUUAGGAGGACCUGGCCAAAAAUUCCCAGGAGAACAUCAGAAUUGCUGCAGCCCAGCCAGUGCUGAGUGACUCUCGUUCCUUUUCUUUCCAAGUAGCAAUGUUUUUGUGAUUCUACACCUAUUCCACAUACCUGGGUACAUAUGGAAAACAACUUGUCUUUUUGAUUUUUUAGGUCCUUAUCAAAUCAAGAGGAGCCUCAGUGAGAUCUGGCAUGGAACAUGGAUUUCCAGCUCAAUGCCAGCGUUGGAUAAGAUUUUUGGAGUGUCCUGGGGAUGCCGGAACACGCACACUCCCUGCCCUUGACUUUGGGCCUUGCCCUUUUACUUGUUUUUGCAAAUGAGAUGUUAAUGGAGGUGACAUGAGCAGCAGUUGAAAUGUGCUUGUGCUGUAGAGCUUGCUGUCUUGCACUUCUACCAUUGCCACGAGAAAAAUACGAUAUGAGUCCAGUAGGAUGAGAGGUAUUUGGAACAAAACUGCCCCAGGUGCCCUGUAGACCUGUGGCCUGAAGCGAAGCCACCCCAUGUGACCUUCAGGCACAUGGGCGAGAAAUACCUCCUGUUAUAUGGCACUGUGAUGUUUGUGGUUUCUUGUUACACGGUGGUGACUGACUGAGACAACCCACAAUAGCAACCAGGAGCCCCAUGGCUUCUUUAAAGAUAGGAAGUAAAAAAGUAAAUGGCAAACAAUUUGGGAGUGGGCUGAUACCAACAGAAAGGAGAAAUGAUCAUAGACUUUAGGAUGAGCUGACAAAGUUCUCAUGACUGCCUGGAAAACUCAGCAUACCUAGUGGGUCCUGGAAAAGGUGGGAGGCUAUACAUACAGAAGCAAGUGUACCUCAAAGUCUCCCAUGCCAGUCAAAGAAGAGGAAUAAAGAGUCGGUUGAGGUUGUGGGUGAGGUGAAUGGGUUUAUAGACUGAGGUUGCCCAGGAAUUCGCAGUGUACAUAUACAGUGUACAUACUUAAUGUUUGAUAUAUUUAUUAUACAGUAAUUUUCUGAUAAUUAAACUUCUUAAUAUAACUUUGUGGUAAGAGUGCUUUUCCCACAUUCCAGAGAUUACCAGGAGUCUGACUUUUAAAAAAUCUUGUUGUAUUGUAUGUAUUUUUAGAAAGAGGUAGAGUAAAAAUAAAUAGAUUAACUAGGACUGCUGGAAAAGGGGGUUGGGUGGGAAAGAAAAAUGCCAUUCAGAAAUAGACCAUGAAACUAAUUACCUGGAUAAACCAAUGUAAAAAAAUUUAUUGUUUCAGACAGGGUCAUAAACUCAAUUACCUUAGGGGACUGGCAGGUGACACAAAGGAGUGAGGUAGGCCUGGUGGGGAGUGUGGUGAUGCGGGAGUGUGUGCCCUGUCCCAGAAGGGCAGCUAUGACUGGGAUCCCUCCAAUUGUUGCCAUGUGGGAGUGGCAUCUAGUGUUGCCAGCUCUUCUGAGGAAACAGGGCUGCCAUGUUUGCUUCUGCAGGUUGUACACUGCACAAGAGUGCUCAGCCGAGAGGGUAGCUGGAGCCUAAAAUUCAGUACAAGCUCCAUGUACCAAGCCCUGGGCCAGGACACAGGACUCAAAGAGCAGAGCUCAGGCACAGGUGCCCUUUCUAGGCUCAGCCAAUAGAUGCCCCUUUCUAAGGCCUGGAACCUUGUGUGAGUGACAGAAGCACAGAGGUGGAGAGAUUACGUGGGGUAGCAUCCACUGUGUUUAGAUGGGGAAACUGAGGACCAGAAGAAUGAAGAAACUUGCCCAAGGUCACAUAGAAUAAAGUUCACAUCAGGACUCACACCCAAGUCUAGCUGACUCCAAAGUUCAUUUUGGAACCACUCACAACAUGGACUUCCUGGAUCCCAAACUUUUGGAUGAAUUGACUUCACCCCACAGCCUUUCAAGAGAGAAAAGGGUCUACUUUCUAGAUCUGGGACCUGGGAAAGUGGGCAGCUUUGGGUUCCUGUUGGGCCGGGAAUAGGGCUGGGGUUCCCAGGGUUCUGACUCAAAACCCAAGGCUGGCCGUUUCAA